rnacentral:rRNA from 1 species
UAGAGUUUGAUCAUGGCUCAGGAUGAACGCUAGCGGCAGGCUUAACACAUGCAAGUCGAGGGGCAUCGGGAGGGAAGCUUGCUUUCCUUGCCGGCGACCGGCGCACGGGUGAGUAACACGUAUGCAACCUGCCCUCUUCAGGGGGACAACCUUCCGAAAGGGAGGCUAAUCCCGCGUAUAUCGGUUUCGGGCAUCCGAGAUCGAGGAAAGAUUCAUCGGAAGAGGAUGGGCAUGCGGCGCAUUAGCUUGACGGCGGGGUAACGGCCCACCGUGGCGACGAUGCGUAGGGGUUCUGAGAGGAAGGUCCCCCACACUGGUACUGAGACACGGACCAGACUCCUACGGGAGGCAGCAGUGAGGAAUAUUGGUCAAUGGGAGAGAUCCUGAACCAGCCAAGCCGCGUGAGGGAAGACGGCCCUAUGGGUUGUAAACCUCUUUUGUCGGAGAACAAAACCCGGGACGUGUCCCGGACUGCGUGUAUCCGAAGAAAAAGCAUCGGCUAACUCCGUGCCAGCAGCCGCGGUAAUACGGAGGAUGCGAGCGUUAUCCGGAUUUAUUGGGUUUAAAGGGUGCGUAGGCGGUCCGUUAAGUCAGCGGUAAAAUUGCGGGGCUCAACCCCGUCGAGCCGUUGAAACUGGCAGACUUGAGUUGGCGAGAAGUACGCGGAAUGCGCGGUGUAGCGGUGAAAUGCAUAGAUAUCGCGCAGAACUCCGAUUGCGAAGGCAGCGUACCGGCGCCAGACUGACGCUGAGGCACGAAAGCGUGGGGAUCGAACAGGAUUAGAUACCCUGGUA